CCCCACGAAGCUCCCUUCCUCGACUAGUCGAGACAACUGUUGCUCUCUUUCGGCACAACUACUGCUCCUUUUCCAUGGUGUCCCGUAAAGGCUCAAACCAACCAAGAAACAACGACUUCAUAUAUGGCAAAUUUGAGGCCAGCUUCUUCAUGCACAUGUCCAUCAAAAGUUCCUUAUACUCUUUUGCCACUCGUUCCCACGCCUCUGUCUCAAUCUUCACCUGCCUCCUCCUUAGAACUCGUAUAGCCUCUGGGACAAAACUCGCUACUUCCAAAACUUGUCCUCCACAUAAAGUCCUCAUGUGAAAAAAAACUCGUCAUGUCGAUGAUAACCCAUUUCCGAAAACCCAUUAUCCCAGCAAGCAUUAAGCUCAGAGGGCCUAAAUCUGAAUUCUGCAAGGAAGACCGAGUCCUGGUACGACCCAGAAAGCUAUGAACCCGUAUGAGGUAAUGGGAAUUGAGGACAAAACUCAGGGACAUUGAAAUAGCUCAUUUGGCAAUAUUACUCCACAUGCCAAUGGAAAUCCUUGAAGGGCUUAAAGGAAAAUUUGUUUCUUUACAAAAGGGAAGAAGAGUAUCGAUUUUACUGCAAAGAUUUGUAGAGACUAUAGGGGUUUAACUACUUUAGAUCAAUUUGAAUCAAAAUUUGAUGACAAUGAAAUUGAUGGGAUGGAGUGGGACUAGGAUGCAAUUGUGAUUAGAGGAAAUGGGUUGUAAAAGAAGGAAAAACACAGCUGACGACGAGAUCGAGGUCAAGCACCAAAAAGGGAAUCCAAAAAGAGUUUUGUUCUUUUUUUUUUUUUUAAAUAUUAGCUGACGUCAGCCAUUUACUCACCGUUUACAUUCAAUGACUGUACCUAGCAGAAGUGCUAUUGAUAAUUUU